rnacentral:rRNA from 1 species
UAGUCCACACCGUAAACGAUGGAUACUAGUCGUUUGAGGAGUUAACCCCUUGAGUGACAAAGUUCACACAUUAAGUAUCCCGCCUGGGGAGUACGGUCGCAAGGCUAAAACUCAAAGGAAUUGACGGGGGCCCGCACAAGCGGUGGAGCAUGUGGUUUAAUUCGAUGCAACGCGAAGAACCUUACCAAGACUUGACAUCCUGCGAAUUUUCUAGAGAUAGAUUAGUGCCUUCGGGAACGCAGUGACAGGUGCUGCACGGCUGUCGUCAGCUCGUGUUGUGAAAUGUUGGGUUAAGUCCCGUAACGAGCGCGACCCUUGUCCUUAGUUGCUAGCAGGUUAAGCUGAGAACUCUAAGGAGACUGCCGGUGACAAACCGGGAGGAAGGUGGGGACGACGUCAAGUCAUCAUGGCCCUUACGUCUUGGGGCUACACGCGUGCUACAAUGGGGCAGUAC